rnacentral:tRNA from 1 species
CACUUUUGAAACUUUUAAUAUACGCCCCGCAACGACGCUUCCAGCGCUCGUAGCUCAGUUGGAUAGAGCGUUGGCCU